rnacentral:rRNA from 1 species
CAGCAGCCGCGGUAAUACGGAGGGUGCAAGCGUUAAUCGGAAUUACUGGGCGUAAAGCGCACGCAGGCGGUUUGUUAAGUCAGAUGUGAAAUCCCCGAGCUUAACUUGGGAACUGCAUUUGAAACUGGCAAGCUAGAGUCUUGUAGAGGGGGGUAGAAUUCCAGGUGUAGCGGUAAAAUGCGUAGAGAUCUGGAGGAAUACCGGUGGCGAAGGCGGCCCCCUGGACAAAGACUGACGCUCAGGUGCGAAAGCGUGGGGAGCAAACAGGAUUAGAUACCCGCGUAGUCCCUGUCUCUUAUAA